rnacentral:rRNA from 1 species
GUGCACCAGGCGCGAAACUUUACAAUGUGCGAAAGCACGAUAAGGGAACUCUGAGUGCCUCCUAAGGAGGCUGUUCAGGUGUCUAAAAGCACCUGAAGGAAGGGCUGGGUAAGACCGGUGCCAGCCGCCGCGGUAACACCGGCAGCCCAAGUGGUAGCCACGUUUAUUGGGUCUAAAGCGUCCGUAGCCGGCUGGGUAAGUUCCUUGGGAAAUUUGGCUGCUUAACAGUCAAGCUUUCAGGGAAUACUGCCCGGCUUGGGACCGGGAGAGGUCAGAGGUACUCCAGGGGUAGGGUGAAAUCCAUUAAUCCUUGGGGGACCACCGGUAGCGAAGGCGUCUGACCAGACCGGGUCCGACGGUGAGGGACGAAGGCUAGGGGCGCGAACCGGAUUAGAUACCCGCGUAGU